AUUCAGCCUGGAGGCACGGACGUGCGGGUCGGAAGACAGCAGGGCUUCCCCGAGCGGGGGCCGUCCGCCCCACGGAGCUCCGUGCGGGCCAGACGCAUUUCCUCCCGUCCGAAGGACGCCGCAGCCGGCUGGGUAGUGCAAGCGCGACGGCCUGAGGGGCGGAAGAUGGCAGGUGGCCGGUGGCUCGCCACGUGCGGGUUGCCGGUUGUUAGCCGUUCCGUCGGUGGCCCGUCACCCGGCCGAGGUGUCGCAAGGCCCUUCGGGGCCUCAUCGUCUCCUCCCCUGAAGGAAGUCGGGACAGAGCGCCGCAGGUGGGAACCGUCGUCCCGUUCGCACCCCUACGGGGUGGUCGGGCGAACGUGUCCUGCCGAUGGCGGUGCCGGGCCCGUCGGAGGUUGGAGGCUGGCGGCGAGUAGGUCGGUCACCCACCCGACCCGUCUUGAAACACGGACCAAGGAGUCUAACAUGUGCGCGAGUCAAUGGGACUUGAACAGGCCCAGGGGCGCAAUGAAAGCAAAGGCCGACGCCACGUCGGCUGAGUUGGGAUCCCCCGCUCCGGCGGGGGCGCACCGACGACCCGUCCUAUCCGGCUCGCCGGUUGGGCGGAGUGAGAGCGUACACGUUGGGACCCGAAAGAUGGUGAACUAUGCCCGGACAGGACGAAGCCAGAGGAAACUCUGGUGGAGGUCCGCAGCGGUUCUGACGUGCAAAU
rnacentral:rRNA from 1 species